rnacentral:rRNA from 1 species
ACGGGAGGCAGCAGUGGGGAAUACUGCACAAUGGGGGAAACCCUGAUGCAGCGACGCCGCGUGAGUGAAGAAGUAUCUCGGUAUGUAAAGCUCUAUCAGCAGGGAAGAAAAUGACGGUACCUGACUAAGAAGCCCCGGCUAACUACGUGCCAGCAGCCGCGGUAAUACGUAGGGGGCAAGCGUUAUCCGGAUUUACUGGGUGUAAAGGGAGCGUAGACGGCGAUGCAAGUCUGAAGUGAAAGGCGGGGGCUCAACCCUUGGACUGCUUUGGAAACUGUAUUGCUAGAGUGCAGGAGAGGUAAGUGGAAUUCCUAGUGUAGCGGUGAAAUGCUUAGAUAUUAGGAGGAACACCAGUGGCGAAGGCGGCUUACUGGACUGUAACUGACGUUGAGGCUCGAAAGCGUGGGGAGCAAACAGGAUUAGAUACCCUGGUA